GAUGAACGCUAGCGGCAGGCUUAACACAUGCAAGUCGAGGGGCAGCGAGGGUAGCAAUACCUGUCGGCGACCGGCGGAAGGGUGAGUAACGCGUGAGCAACAUACCCGUAUCAGUGGGAUAAUACAGGGAAACUUGUUCUAAUAUCGCAUAAUAUUAUUCAGAGGCAUCUUUGGAUAAUUAAAGUUACGGCGGAUACGGAAUGGCUCGCGUGACAUUAGUUAGAUGGUAGGGUAAUGGCCUACCAUGGCGAUGAUGUCUAGGGGUUCUGAGAGGGAGGUCCCCCACACUGGAACUGAGACACGGUCCAGACUCCUACGGGAGGCAGCAGUGAGGAAUUUUGGACAAUGGGCGCAAGCCUGAUCCAGCCAUUCCGCGUGCAGGAUGAAGGCCUUCGGGUUGUAAACUGCUUUUGUACGGACGAAACGGUCUGCCCUAAUACGGCGGGCUAAUGACGGUACGUAAGAAUAAGCACCGGCUAACUACGUGCCAGCAGCCGAC
rnacentral:rRNA from 1 species